rnacentral:tRNA from 1 species
AGGGAUUUAGCUCAGUGGUAGAGCGCUUGCCUAGGAAGCGCAAGGCCCUGGGUUCAGUUCCCAGCCCCG